GUUCCUGAACAAACUCUUCCACGCAUACGCAGUCGACGGCGGUUUGCAUCUUGACAACAACCGGCCAGUCUAAUGAAGUUUGAUACCUGUGCAGAUAGCAUCAGAUGACAUUUACUGUUGUAUUUUAUUUUACCAGUGUAACGUGAGAAAACAACUGGCCACCGCCGAAAAGGACUGGAGUGCAUCACGUGCGUUAAUGCGGCUGGACCUUGCAGUGGACCAUCACUGCAGUGUCCCUCAGUUCUUGACUCCUGUACCAGCAUCACAGCUGCUACUGUCAUAGGGGGUUCAGAUCUAGCUGAAGCUAAUUUCAAAAGCUGCUUCCGCAAUGAUCAGUGUUUCAAUGGAUCGUUGAACUUAGGAAGUACUGCGAGGAUAACUUUGAGCACCUCGUGCUGUAACACAGACAGCUGCAACACCGGAACUCCGGCAGCGGUAGCAAACAACAGUGCCAACGGGAGGCAGUGUUUCAGCUGUGGCUUGAUAGGCUGCUCAUCGACACUUCAGUGUGUCGGUAAUGAAGAUCGAUGUAUCACAGCAUCAGUGGUUGUAGCAGGACUGAGCACCACUCUAAAGGGCUGUGCCACCAGCAAUGUCUGCUCUGGAGAUUUUACAUCUCAGCUGGAGUCGACAGCAGUGGACCUGUCCUGCUGUGAGGGGAACCUGUGUAAUAGCACCUGGAGUGCUGGCCACAGCGUCCUGCUCCUGUUCUGGACCCUGCUCUCUGUUCUGCUCUUACUGAGCUGACUGCAACUCGGGUGACUCCUCUGCAGUGUCUGUUUUUUUUUGUUUGUUUGUUUGUUUGUUUUUUAAAGCUUACUCGCUUACUCGCUUACUCACUUACUCAUAAUGUCUAAAAAAAACCACACCUCUCUAUACAGUAUGUAAGCCAGGAGCAAAUAAACAAAGUGUUUUCAUUUGUGAGCAAAAUAAUAAAUAUUUCAGAUUUUAAUCAGUCUGGAUAUUUAUAUCA